rnacentral:rRNA from 1 species
UACGAAGGGGGCUAGCGUUGCUCGGAAUUACUGGGCGUAAAGGGAGCGUAGGCGGACUGUUUAGUCAGAGGUGAAAGCCCAGGGCUCAACCUUGGAAUUGCCUUUGAUACUGGCAGUCUUGAGUACGGAAGAGGUAUGUGGAACUCCGAGUGUAGAGGUGAAAUGCGUAGAGAUGCGGAGGAACACCAGUGGCGAAAGCGACUUUCUGGUCCUUAACUGACGCUGAGGCGGCGAAAGCAUGGGGAGCGAACGGGG